AUUGAACGCUGGCGGCGUGCCUAACACAUGCAAGUCGAGCGGUAACAGGUGUAGCAACACAUGCUGACGAGCGGCGAACGGGUGAGCAAUGCUUCGGAAUCUGCCCAAUGGUGGGGAAUAACCAGUCGAAAGAUUGGCUAAUACCGCAUACGCCCUUCGGGGGAAAGCGGGGGUCGCAAGACCUCGCGCCGAUGGAUGAGCCGAAGUCGGAUUAGCUAGUUGGUAGGGUAACGGCCUACCAAGGCGACGAUCCGUAGCUGGUCUGAGAGGACGACCAGCCACACUGGGACUGAGUCACGGCCCAGACUCCUACGGGAGGCAGCAGUGGGGAAUAUUGGACAAUGGAGGCAACCCUGAUCCAGCGACGCCGCGUGUGUGAAGAAGGCCUGCGGGUUGUAAAGCACUUUUAGUGGGGAUGAAAAGCACAUUGCUAAUACCAGUGUGUCUUGACCUAACCCAAAGAAAAAGCACCGGCUAACUCUGUGCCAGCCGCCGCAGUAAAAC
rnacentral:rRNA from 1 species